GAUGAACGCUGGCGGCGUGCCUAAUACAUGCAAGUCGAGCGAACGGACGAGAAGCUUGCUUUUCUGAUGUUAGCGGCGGACGGGUGAGUAACACGUGGAUAACCUACCUAUAAGACUGGGAUAACUUCGGGAAACCGGAGCUAAUACCGGAUAAUAUUUUGAACCGCAUGGUUCAAAAGUGAAAGACGGUCUUGCUGUCACUUAUAGAUGGAUCCGCGCUGCAUUGGCUAGUUGGUAAGGUAACGGCUUACCAAGGCAACGAUGCAUAGCCGACCUGAGAGGGUGAUCGGCCACACUGGAACUGAGACACGGUCCAGACUCCUACGGGAGGCAGCAGUAGGGAAUCUUCCGCAAAGGGCGAAAGCCUGACGGAGCAACGCCGCGUGAGUGAUGAAGGUCUUCGGAUCGUAAAACUCUGUUAUUAGGGAAGAACAUAUGUGUAAGUAACUGUGCACAUCUUGACGGUACCUAAUCAGAAAGCCACGGCUAACUACGUG
rnacentral:rRNA from 1 species